AAAAAGGAAAAAAGGAGAAAAGCAAAAAUGGAAAAAAUGUGCACAAGU
rnacentral:ribozyme from 1 species